UACGUAGGUGACCAGCGUUGUCCGGAUUUACUGGGCGUAAAGCGCACGUAGGCGGAUCGAUCAGUCAGGGGUGAAAUCCCAGAGCUCAACUCUGGAACUGCCUUUGAUACUGUCGAUCUGGAGUAUGGAAGAGGUGAGUGGAAUUCCGAGUGUAGAGGUGAAAUUCGUAGAUAUUCGGAGGAACACCAGUGGCGAAGGCGGCUCACUGGUCCAUUACUGACGCUGAGGUGCGAAAGCGUGGGGAGCAAACAGG
rnacentral:rRNA from 1 species